UACAGAGGGGGCAAGCGUUGCUCGGAAUCACUGGGCGUAAAGGGCGCGUAGGCGGGACGCCAAGUCGGUCGUGAAAUCUCCGGGCUCAACCCGGAGGAGUCGGCCGAAACUGGUGUUCUUGAGGGAGGCAGAGGAGUCUGGAAUUCCCGGUGUAGCGGUGAAAUGUGUAGAGAUCGGGAGGAACACCGGUGGCGAAGGCGGGACUCUGGGCCUACCCUGACGCUGAGGCGCGAAGGCGUGGGGAGCAAACGGG
rnacentral:rRNA from 1 species